UCUCUCCUAAUCCAAUCCCUUUACUUCCUUGCCCCUCACCAUUUUCUGCUGUAGGAUUACACAAGCGCUACACGCACCUGAAACACCACCAAAUCCCUUCUCUUCCUCUUCUCUUUGGCAGCAACAAGACAUUAAUUCCUGCGAUAAGAACAAAUUUUAACUUUACAAGUUCGUAACAGACGGUAGCAAAUCCAUUCUUUCUUGGCGAUUCGAUUAGGCUGUUCCUUGGAAUGGGUGGACUUGGCAAUUCGCUGCGUUGGAUUUCUGAGUUCUUAAGGAGGAGAAACCUUCGCAAAAUGGCGUGAUCAGAAUGUGUUGGGACCAUUCCAUCAGACCACCAUCGUCCCAUCAAAUUUAAACUGCAUCUGGAUCCUCUCCAAUGGUUGGUCUAUGUAGAGAGGCAUUCGACGGUUGGGAGGACUUGACCAUGUGAUGGGAUGUGUACCCGAGUUCUCCUAGCUGCUGGAGACAAUCUAGAUCCAACAAAGCUAGCA